CAAUACAGGUGAGGUAGUUAAACAGGAAGGACACACGACCUUAACAGUGCGUUGUUAGAAGCAUUAAGUGUUAUUAAGUCAGUUCAAGUGCGGCCUUAAUCGAAGACGACUGGUACUAGAUGUAGUCUAAGUGUUUUACCGAGGAAUCAAUACAAGUAGCGCACAAUGAGGGAUACACAAUCCUCGCCGUUGUGACAGUGGUCACUCUGGCCGUGGUCAGCGCCACCUCGGGAUAUCCCAGAACUAAACUGUGCCACCAGUCCUGCGCCAAUGUCAAGUGUCCCAAGCUGCGGCGACGACACUGUCAGAUAGUGAUGAAGCAGUGUGGCUGCUGCCCAGUGUGUGCGUCAGGUAUUGGGCGGCGGUGCGGCUCGCAGCAUCCACCGUGUAUGAAAUAUCUGUGGUGCAUCAAGCAGACUAUCACGUCCAUAGAGGCCCAUCGCGGAUCAUUGCCGGACCAGUUCAAGGGCGUCUGUGGUCACGUGAGGCCCAUUAUGAAGAGGAGGCGUUACCGGAAACGGAAGCGGAAGUGGAGGGCAAGGCCAAGAUGGAUGUGGCAUCUGAAGAGGGGAGGACAUUGAAACCUCGAUAAAUGAUGUCUUUAGCAUAUCCUGUCACUUCUUUUGUUCCAUCGUGAAUAGAAAACGUGUCUGUAACUUCCAGAUUCCAUAUAAAGAUUGGGAAUGUCGGAUGAAGUGUGAAAAUUGAUUUUGUUAUUGUAACUGAUUAUGAUCCCGCGGUCAGGAGUGUGUUCAAGGUUUUUUGGACUUUGUAUGCUUUGAAAUGAAAAUCUAAUGAAUAAAAUGUAAGCGGAGA
rnacentral:misc_RNA from 1 species